GUGCUGUCUCGCCUUGAAACCUGGCCUGGCCCUGGGAUUGGUGCCUUGUCAGUCACUGCUUUCAUUCUAUGUGGAUCCUUUAGAUUUGAAACUAAAAGGCCAGAAUAUUCUCUGUGGACAGCAUCCUGCUCAAACAGCAUUGAAGAACUAAAAGAGUAACUUGUAGACAGGAGUGAAGAUCAGGGUUUUCUGUCAGGGGAUUCGUGUUGCCACUAGAGCCUUGGGAAUCUUCUCAGUGUUUAAAAU